rnacentral:rRNA from 1 species
CGUGCCUAAUACAUGCAAGUCGAGCGAACGGACGAGAAGCUUGCUUCUCUGAUGUUAGCGGCGGACGGGUGAGUAACACGUGGAUAACCUACCUAUAAGACUGGGAUAACUUCGGGAAACCGGAGCUAAUACCGGAUAAUAUUUUGAACCGCAUGGUUCAAAAGUGAAAGACGGUCUUGCUGUCACUUAUAGAUGGAUCCGCGCUGCAUUAGCUAGUUGGUAAGGUAACGGCUUACCAAGGCAACGAUGCAUAGCCGACCUGAGAGGGUGAUCGGCCACACUGGAACUGAGACACGGUCCAGACUCCUACGGGAGGCAGCAGUAGGGAAUCUUCCGCAAUGGGCGAAAGCCUGACGGAGCAACGCCGCGUGAGUGAUGAAGGUCUUCGGAUCGUAAAACUCUGUUAUUAGGGAAGAACAUAUGUGUAAGUAACUGUGCACAUCUGACGGUACCUAAUCAGAAAGCCAC